GGGUUGGAGAAGUCAAAACAAAGGUCACCAUGUUGUUCUGAGCCUAAGGGGUCUUUGUGAGAUCUUGCACUACAAACUGCAGCCAAGGGGAUCCCGAAUGGGCAAGACUUGAUCCUCAUACUGGUGAAACCUCCUGAGUCCCCAGGGACCCUGUCAGACCAGGCUCCAGCCUCCCUGCGGUCUCUGAGAGAGAAUGUGGCUAGUUCUGCCCCACGGCUCCCUGGCAGUCCAGCGGUCAGAAGUGGCCACGCAGAACCCAACAUUCAGCCUGGGUGCAGACACUGCCUCUAGCCUCCUCCCCAAGCACUCUCCUAGUAUGGCAAAACAGCCCUUGAGAGAUUGCAGAAAGCCAUCAACCUUGAAGAUAACAGGAGCCCUCCCAAGGAAAUGUGUUCAGGAGACCUUCUAAGACCAUGCCAUUUCCUGGGUCCCUCUCCCAGUGGGGAAAUUCUCCCAGUAGCAGAUUCUGGCAGACAGCAGAGACACACUCUAUGCCCAACACUAGGCACCGGAUGGAUGAGAUAAUCAUAAAUCCACAAACUGCAACAAGAUAAAAUUAUCAUUAGAUGAAGUUAAAUUAUUAAUUAGCACCUCCAAAAAAA
rnacentral:lncRNA from 1 species